rnacentral:rRNA from 1 species
UCUCGCAUCGAUGAAGAACGCAGCGAAAUGCGAUAAGUAAUGUGAAUGNCAGAAUUCAGUGAAUCAUCGAAUCUUUGAACGCACCUUGCGCUCCUUGGUAUUCCGAGGAGCAUGCCUGUUUGAGUGUCAUGAAUCUCUCAACCCACCUGGUUUUUGUUAACUGUGGUGGGCUUGGAUUUGGGGGCUUUGCUGGCUGUCAAGUCGGCUCCUCUCUAAAUGUAUUAGCUGAACCCGUUGCGGAACAGUGGCUCGGUGUGAUAAUUGUCUACGCCGUCUCUGGGAAGCGUCUUUGGUUGAUUGGCUUCUAAACUGUCCUCGGACAAUUUUGACAGUUUGACCUCAAAUCAGGUAGGAUUACCCGCUGAACUUAAGCAUAUCAAUAAGCGGAGGAAAAGAAACUAACAAGGAUUCCCCUAGUAACUGCGAGUGAAGCGGGAAGAGCUCAAAUUUAAAAUCUGGCGGUCCUUUGGCCGUCCGAGUUGUAUUCUGGAGAAGCGUCUUCCGUGC